UACGUAGGGUCCGAGCGUUGUCCGGAAUUAUUGGGCGUAAAGGGCUCGUAGGCGGUUUGUCACGUCGGGAGUGAAAACUCAGGGCUCAACCCUGAGCGUGCUUCCGAUACGGGGCAGACUAGAGGUAUGCAGGGGGAGAACGGAAUUCCUGGUGUAGCGGUGGAAUGCGCAGAUAUCAGGAGGAACACCCGAUGGCGAAGGCAGGUCUCUGGGGCCACUACUGACGUGAGAAGCGAAAGCGUGGGGGGAGCGAACAGG
rnacentral:rRNA from 1 species